GGUCAUGUCUGCUACUACUCUGCAACAGCUGAAAGAUAUGUCACCUAUUAUAAAACGUAUAAGUGCGGACUUUUUGGAUGGUCAAGGUGUAAAAGUAGUGGGUCCCAUAGUGUCCCGUACACGUAUCGCCGGAGCCGUUGCUGUCGAGGUUGGACAAGUAGAAAUGCAGCCUGUGUGGUCCCUAUUUGCAGUCCCAGUUGUCGAAAUGGUGGAACAUGCAUAAGACCAAACGUGUGUAUUUGCCCAGUCACACAUUAUGGUUCUUAC